rnacentral:rRNA from 16 species
GGGUUAAUAUUCCCGUACUUCUUCAUAAUGCGAUGGGGGGACGGAGAAGGCUAGGCCAGCGCGGCGAUGGUAGUCCGCGUUUAAGGUUGUAGGCUGGUUGCUUAGGUAAAUCCGGGCGGCCAAGGUCGAGAACUGAUGACGAGUUCUGGUGCGAGCCAGGAUGAAGUGGUUGAUGCCAUGCUUCCAAGAAAAGCUUCUAAGCUUCAGGUAACCAGGAACCGUACCCCAAACCGACAC